AAGCGAUUGAAGAAUCCAAGAUUUAUGUAAUAAUUUUCUCGGAAAAUUAUGCUUCCUCUCACUGGUGCCUGGACGAACUCGUCAAGAUAAUGGAAUGCAUGAAAAGAAUGGGGUGGAAGGUUUUGCCCGUUUUCUACCAUGUAGAUCCUUCUGACGUUAGAAAGCAAACUGGAAAACUUGGAGAAGCAUUUGGGAAAGUUA
rnacentral:misc_RNA from 1 species